ACCACGAAAUUUCCGCCCACUUGCUGUUGCUGGUCAGGUCUUUGUCCAGAAGAGUGGAUCCAAUAUUCACACCGGCUCCUCGAGAUAUUUCGCGCGAAAGAUCGAUUCACCUUCCUUCGCGCGGAUCCGCCGUUGGUUCACCCACCGCCGGAAGGAGGGUAGACGCAUGCCACGCCUUCUGUACUCCCCCUAGAGUCGGGAAGCCCCGCAGAGCCACACAAGUUGAGAAGCUACAAGCAGAAACGCAAUCCAUGACUGUUGGGUUCAUAUGAAAGGGGGGGGGGGUCGAGAUUUUCUUAGGGUUAUAAACUGAUAUCAGUUCACACGGUGGACAAAUGAGAAUGCUUCCAAGAGGACCAAGACCUCUACAGAGUCUCCGUCUAUUUUAUAUAUAUAUAUAAAGCCUUGCAAGCUGCAAGCCUCUGGCCAGGAAAAGAGACAUGGAAUCACAGAGGGCUCCAUUCUUUUUCCUACUGCUCUUCUUUGUUUCCAUCCAUCUGCACAUCUCCGGGGCUGCAGAAGCCAGGCCGCUUCCUCUUCCCCUGGUGAAACAAGAGGGGUUUGCCAAAAUGCUGGAGUCGCUGGGCCUCGUCUGCCGGUGCUGUGACGGAGUGGGAGGUGAAUGCAGGAGCACCUGGGAAUCCACUUGUGUCAAACUGGACUGCCAUCCCUGGAAAUCCUUGUGAUUUUGGCAUCAGAAUUUUGAUCUUGUGGCCUUGUAAAUUACUUUCAGAAGGGUUGGUUCUUGACGGACCAAAUUAUACCGUGUAAAAAUAUCUUCGACCAUAGCUAAUUAAUCUAUCGAUAGGAUCUGAUGAUCCCUGUGAAUCUUUCUUAA